AAAUUGAAGAGUUUGAUCAUGGCUCAGAUUGAACGCUGGCGGCAGGCCUAACACAUGCAAGUCGAACGGUAACAGGAAGCAGCUUGCUGCUUUGCUGACGAGUGGCGGACGGGUGAGUAAUGUCUGGGAAACUGCCUGAUGGAGGGGGAUAACUACUGGAAACGGUGGCUAAUACCGCAUAACGUCGCAAGACCAAAGAGGGGGACCUUCGGGCCUCUUGCCAUCAGAUGUGCCCAGAUGGGAUUAGCUUGUUGGUGAGGUAACGGCUCACCAAGGCGACGAUCCCUAGCUGGUCUGAGAGGAUGACCAGCCACACUGGAACUGAGACACGGUCCAGACUCCUACGGGAGGCAGCAGUGGGGAAUAUUGCACAAUGGGCGCAAGCCUGAUGCAGCCAUGCCGCGUGUAUGAAGAAGGCCUUAGGGUUGUAAAGUACUUUCAGCGGGGAGGAAGGUGUUGCGGUUAAUAACCGCAGCAAUUGACGUUACCCGCAGAAGAAGCACCGGCUAACUCCGUGCCAGCAGCCGCGGUAAUACGGAGGGUGCAAGCGUUAAUCGGAAUUACUGGGCGUAAAGCGCACGCAGGCGGUCUGUCAAGUCGGAUGUGAAAUCCCCGGGCUCAACCUGGGAACUGCAUUCGAAACUGGCAGGCUUGAGUCUUGUAGAGGGGGGUAGAAUUCCAGGUGUAGCGGUGAAAUGCGUAGAGAUCUGGAGGAAUACCGGUGGCGAAGGCGGCCCCCUGGACAAAGACUGACGCUCAGGUGCGAAAGCGUGGGGAGCAAACAGGAUUAGAUACCCUGGUAGUCCACGCCGUAAACGAUGUCUACUUGGAGGUUGUGCCCUUGAGGCGUGGCUUCCGGAGCUAACGCGUUAAGUAGACCGCCUGGGGAGUACGGCCGCAAGGUUAAAACUCAAAUGAAUUGACGGGGGCCCGCACAAGCGGUGGAGCAUGUGGUUUAAUUCGAUGCAACGCGAAGAACCUUACCUGGUCUUGACAUCCACAGAACUUUCCAGAGAUGGAUUGGUGCCUUCGGGAACUGUGAGACAGGUGCUGCAUGGCUGUCGUCAGCUCGUGGUGUGUAAGGUUGGGUUAAGUCCCGCAACGAGCGCAACCCUUAUCCUUUGUUGCCAGCGGUUAGGCCGGGAACUCAAAGGAGACUGCCAGUGAUAAACUGGAGGAAGGUGGGGAUGACGUCAAGUCAUCAUGGCCCUUACGACCAGGGCUACACACGUGCUACAAUGGCGCAUACAAAGAGAAGCGACCUCGCGAGAGCAAGCGGACCUCAUAAAGUGCGUCGUAGUCCGGAUUGGAGUCUGCAACUCGACUCCAUGAAGUCGGAAUCGCUAGUAAUCGUGGAUCAGAAUGCCACGGUGAAUACGUUCCCGGGCCUUGUACACACCGCCCGUCACACCAUGGGAGUGGGUUGCAAAAGAAGUAGGUAGCUUAACCUUCGGGAGGGCGCUUACCACUUUGUGAUUCAUGACUGGGGUGAAGUCGUAACAAGGUAACCGUAGGGGAACCUGCGGUUGGAUCACCUCCUUACCUUAAAGAA
rnacentral:rRNA from 1 species